GCCCCUGUGGCGGAACGGUAGACGCGACGGACUCAAAAUCCGUUGCUCGCGAGGGCGUGGGGGUUCGAGUCCCUCCAGGGGCA
rnacentral:tRNA from 1 species